GAUGAAGAACGCAGCGAAAUGCGAUAAGUAAUGUGAAUUGCAGAAUUCAGUGAAUCAUCGAAUCUUUGAACGCACAUUGCGCCCGCUAGUAUUCUGGCGGGCAUGCCUGUCCGAGCGUCAUUUCAACCCUCAAGCCCCCGGGCUUGGUGUUGGGGAUCGGCGAGCCUCCGCGCCCGCCGUCCCCUAAAUCUAGUGGCGGUCUCGCUGUAGCUUCCUCUGCGUAGUAGCACACCUCGUACUGGGAAACAGCGCGGCCACGCCGUUAAACCCCCAACUUCUGAACGUUUGACCUCGGAUCAGGUAGGAAUACCCGCUGAACUUAAGCAUAUCAAUAAGCGGAGGA
rnacentral:misc_RNA from 1 species